rnacentral:rRNA from 1 species
GACGAACGCUGGCGGCGUGCCUAAUACAUGCAAGUAGAACGCUGAAGGAGGAGCUUGCUUUCUCCGGAUGAGUUGCGAACGGGUGAGUAACGCGUAGGUAACCUGCCUGGUAGCGGGGGAUAACUAUUGGAAACGAUAGCUAAUACCGCAUAAUAGUAGAUGUUGCAUGACAUUUACUUAAAAGGUGCAAUUGUAUCACUACCAGAUGGACCUGCGUUGUAUUAGCUAGUUGGUGGGGUAACGGCUCACCAAGGCGACGAUACAUAGCCGACCUGAGAGGGUGAUCGGCCACACUGGGACUGAGACACGGCCCAGACUCCUACGGGAGGCAGCAGUAGGGAAUCUUCGGCAAUGGACGGAAGUCUGACCGAGCAACGCCGCGUGAGUGAAGAAGGUUUUCGGAUCGUAAAGCUCUGUUGUAAGAGAAGAACGAGUGUGAGAGUGGAAAGUUCACACUGUGACGGUAUCUUACCAGAAAGGGAUGGCUAACUACGUGCCAGCAGCCGCGGUAAUACGUAGGUCCCGAGCGUUGUCCGGAUUUAUUGGGCGUAAAGCGAGCGCAGGCGGUUAGAUAAGUCUGAAGUUAAAGGCUGUGGCUUAACCAUAGUACGCUUUGGAAACUGUUUAACUUGAGUGCAAGAGGGGAGAGUGGAAUUCCAUGUGUAGCGGUGAAAUGCGUAGAUAUAUGGAGGAACACCGGUGGCGAAAGCGGCUCUCUGGCUUGUAACUGACGCUGAGGCUCGAAAGCGUGGGGAGCAAACAGG